rnacentral:lncRNA from 1 species
ACCCUGCGCACGGAUUACUGUCGUACAAAGAAACUCAAGCGGCCGGGGCGGUGGAAGCCCGCGCGCUCUCCGUCUACCGGGCUGGGCAGGGGCGCCCGGGGCCGGCGGCGUCGGCGUGCCCACCUGGGGCGGCUGAGGAGGGGGCUGCGGAGCAGCAGGCGGCCUGCCCGGGCCGGGCCCAGCGGGCCUCACGCCGCGCCCCGCACGCGAAGCCCCGCCGCCGCCGCCGGCCCCUCCCCGCGGCCCCGGCCCGCCGCCCCUCGCCGCGCCGACGUCGGCCGCGCCGCCCCCGUGCGCGGUGACUGGCUCGCGCGGCCUCCAGCCCGGCUGUGGGCGGGGGUGCAGCCGGCGGGAGGCCGCCCCGCCCCCGCCGCCGAGCCGCCGCGCAGCCUCUUCCCCCGUCGCCGGCGGGGCGGUGGCGCUGUGGCCGCCGCGGCCUGUGAGGCAGUCCACUCCCCUCCGCCCCAGCCCCUUCCUCCUCCUUUCUCUGCUCUCACCCCUCCCCUCCCCGCGCCGUCUCUCGCUCGAGUGAAUGUGGCGCGGCGGCGCGGGACGCAGCCUCGGCCCCUGCCGCGGCCCCGCGAGCUCCUGAGGAGACGCCGCCGCCGCCGCCGGCCCCCGCCCCCUGCGCUUCCCGGGGAGCCGCCGCCGCCGGGGAAGGAGAACGAGGAGGGGAGCGAAGGGACGGCGGCGGGAAAACGGGAGAGGGCGGAGAAGAGGGCUCGAGGGCAAGGAGGAAGGCGCGGAGGGACGGACGGAAGGACGGACAGCCCGACGGGCGGCCCAGGGAGGGGGCCGCCCUCGAGCCUGCGGGGGCCCUCGGCUCCAGCUCGGGGCCGCGGCGGCGGCGGCGCGGGCGAAGGGCGCGGCGGGCGCGAUCGAGACAAUAACCCCGCCGCCCGGCUCUGGGGGCGGCGGCGAGGCGGAGGUGGCGGCCUAGCGCGGCCGAGGCUCGCGCAGCGCCCCGGCGGCGUCCUCGCGCCCGCCGGCCGGAUCCGGCCGCCGUCGGGUGUGCGGAGCGCGCCGGCCGCCCCGAGCCCGAAGCUCCGCGCCGACGCCCCCUCCCGGGGCGCGCCCCUCCCCCCCUCCGCGCGCCGAGCUGGUUUUCCGGUUCCCCUGGACCGAACUGGCUCCUGCCGCUCGCCGGGGCAGGAAGUGAGUUUCGCACGGUAA